GACGAACGCUGGCGGCGUGCCUAAUACAUGCAAGUAGAACGCUGAAGAGAGGAGCUUGCUCUUCUUGGAUGAGUUGCGAACGGGUGAGUAACGCGUAGGUAACCUGCCUUGUAGCGGGGGAUAACUAUUGGAAACGAUAGCUAAUACCGCAUAACAAUGGAUGACACAUGUCAUUUAUUUGAAAGGGGCAAUUGCUCCACUACAAGAUGGACCUGCGUUGUAUUAGCUAGUAGGUGAGGUAUGGCUCACCUAGGCGACGAUACAUAGCCGACCUGAGAGGGUGAUCGGCCACACUGGGACUGAGACACGGCCCAGACUCCUACGGGAGGCAGCAGUAGGGAAUCUUCGGCAAUGGGGGCAACCCUGACCGAGCAACGCCGCGUGAGUGAAGAAGGUUUUCGGAUCGUAAAGCUCUGUUGUAAGUCAAGAACGGGUGUGAGAGUGGAAAGUUCACACUGUGACGGUAGCUUACCAGAAAGGGACGGCUAACUACGUG
rnacentral:rRNA from 1 species